rnacentral:rRNA from 1 species
CAGUCGCCGCGGGAAUACGUAGGGUGCGAGCGUUAAUCGGAAUUACUGGGCGUAAAGCGUGCGCAGGCGGUUAUAUAAGACAGAUGUGAAAUCCCCGGGCUCAACCUGGGACCUGCAUUUGUGACUGUAUAGCUAGAGUAUGGUAGAGGGGGAUGGAAUUCCGCGUGUAGCAGUGAAAUGCGUAGAUAUGCGGAGGAACACCGAUGGCGAAGGCAAUCCCCUGGACCUGUACUGACGCUCAUGCACGAAAGUGUGGGGAGCAAACAGGAUUAGAUACCCCAGUAGUCCCUGUCUCUUAUAC